rnacentral:snoRNA from 1 species
UCGAGCUGCGUAGGCCGAGUAUCGAUAUCCGGUAUCAACAGUAUCUACCGAGCUAUAGCCAGCCAGAUGUGUGCGUGAGUACAGUGGUGUCCCAAGUAGCAAUGAGGCAACGGAGGGGCUUAAUCCCACCCCUCGGAAUAGUUGAAGAGUCAAAGAAGAACACGAUUCAAAGGAUGGAGUUAGCCUUACUUGCCCUCGUAAAGCUGGUCCAGUAUUUCCUCCUCGCGGUCGACGAGCUUCUGCAGCUCAGGGGUCAGUUUGCGGGUGCGAGGCACCGCCGGCUUAGAGUCGCCCGCCACGGCAACAUGCUCGUCCUUGGCCAUAGCUCGAGCUAUUUGGAGCUGUAGAUAAGAUAGCUAUUAAUAGUGUAAAACUAGUUUUCGCUUCUCACUCUCAGAACACUGCGGGUGUAUCGCGAGAGAAAAGGACUUCG